AUCUAUAGGAAGCUCUUAGAAAACAAAUUGAAUGAUAUUCUGCGACAGAAGAUUGUACGUAUACUGAAGAGGGAUCGGUGAAAAAUCCAAUCCGAAAUACAGUACAUAUGAAUAAAAGAUCUGUGAAUUAGAGAGAGAGAGAGAGUUUACAAGUAAUCGCGAGCAGGAAAAAAAACUGCUUAAUUCGAUAAAAGUUUUACAAUUCUGUUGCUGAGCAGACAAAAUACUUCAUCGAUUUGUAACGACUUUUGCUGAAGAAUCUAAAAGAUGCAUUCACGGUUGGACUCUUGGCCUAUUAGUAAAAGAUUAAAUUUCUUUGACGUUAUGUUUUUUUGCAUAUUAUUAAAAAAUUAAAGCCAAAGUUUUAAUUGCUUCAUGGAAAAAAAUGAAUAUUUCUCAUCAAAAG